CGCAGUUUAGUGGAUCGAUCGACACACCAUUUUUUUUUUUCAGUCACGAGGUAAUUAAGAAAGAGAUUUUGUAGACAAUAAGAAGAACAAAAAAUAAUUUGUAUCCAUGAAAAUUUAGAAAAUGUCAUGCAAGAGCUAUUGUUGAUUUUAUUGUACUAGGUUAGAUUUAAAAUUAAGGCAUAUGGAUCCAACAAUAUUCCCUGGAGGUCACCUUGUCGGAGCAAAUGAAAUUUAUACAGUUGCAAAUGGAAGUGUAUCAUUGUCACUGGAUCCAUCCACAUUCACAUUUCUUCUCUUCAGUUUAUUAAAAUGGAUUCUGAGACACUUGAUGGAGUAGAAGUUGAGAAUAUAUAAAGAGGAAAUGAUCGAAACACGUACAUGCAGCCAAUACAAAAGUGAUGCUUCAGAGACACUUGAUGGAGUAGAAGUUAAAGUGCUAGAGGAUAUGAAGCACAUACAGCCAAUACAAAAAAUUCAUUUUUUUAAUGUUAAAAACAGCAGAUCAUUGAAUUUGUUUACUCUAAAAUAUGUUGCCUUACAAUUUGGAUCCCUGUCAAAAUUUCCAUAUUUCUUAAUGUGUUCCACAGUUUCAUCUGUGUCAAGAUAGCAAUAAUCUACUUUUUUAUUCAGUAUGCAGAUUGUUCAAUUACUGGUGCAUUGCAUUGUAUUCUAGUCAUGUGCUAGUGUUCAUUCUUUACAAUAAAAAGAUAUAAUUCACAAA